rnacentral:rRNA from 1 species
CCUACGGGAGGCAGCAGUGAGGAAUAUUGGUCAAUGGGCGCGAGCCUGAACCAGCCAAGCCGCGUGAAGGAUGAAUGCCCUCCGGGUUGUAAACUCCUUUAGUAAAGGAGUAAAGUGAGGCACGUGUGCAUUAUUGAAUGUACUUUAUCAAUAAGGAUCGGCUCACCCCGUUCCGGCAGCCGCGGUAAUACGGAGGGUCUGAGCGUUAUCCGGAUUUAUUGGGUUUAAAGGGAGCGUAGAUGGGAUGUUAAGUCAGUUGUGAAAGUUUGCGGCUCAACGGUAAAAUUGCAAUUGAUACUGGCAGCCUGGAGUGCAGGAGAGGUAGGCGGAAUUCGAGGUGUAGCGGUGAAAUGCGUAGAUAUCAGGAAGAACACCGGUGGCGAAGGCGGCCUACU